rnacentral:misc_RNA from 1 species
AAAAAAAUAAUAAUAAAUAAAAAUGCUGACAAUCACUGUGUGAAUUUCACUAACAGUUAAUUGUCGGACUCUCUUAAAUUACAUGCAUCUGCAACUUUGUUAUUAUAUUGACUCAGGAAGGAAAGCACCAAGAUAAUUUAUGCAAAUAUCUCGAAAGUGGCAAUUUUUCAGAAAAACAGAACUCUAGAUAUUGAAAACUUCUUCAGUGUCUCAGUUCAGAAACUUACAGAGUGGAGCGAUCCUCCAUUUCUGGUGAUCUCCUUUGUUCCAAUAGGCGAGGACAACUUUCGUACCAUUU